rnacentral:rRNA from 1 species
AUUACUGAGUUUACGCUCUAUAACCCUUUGUGAACAUACCUAUAACUGUUGCUUCGGCGGGCAGGGUCUCCGUGACCCUCCCGGCCUCCCGCCCCCGGGCGGGUCGGCGCCCGCCGGAGGAUAACCAAACUCUGAUUUAACGACGUUUCUUCUGAGUGGUACAAGCAAAUAAUCAAAACUUUUAACAACGGAUCUCUUGGUUCUGGCAUCGAUGAAGAACGCAGCGAAAUGCGAUAAGUAAUGUGAAUUGCAGAAUUCAGUGAAUCAUCGAAUCUUUGAACGCACAUUGCGCCCGCCAGCAUUCUGGCGGGCAUGCCUGUUCGAGCGUCAUUUCAACCCUCAAGCUCUGCUUGGUGUUGGGGCCCUACAGCUGAUGUAGGCCCUCAAAGGUAGUGGCGGACCCUCCCGGAGCCUCCUUUGCGUAGUAACUUUACGUCUCGCACUGGGAUCCGGAGGGACUCUUGCCGUAAAACCCCCCAAUUUUCCAAAGGUUGACCUCGGAUCAGGUAGGAAUACCCGCUGAACUUAAGCAUAUCAAUAA